rfam:Limnobacter sp. MED105 1103186003329, whole genome shotgun sequence.
GGGGCUAUAGCUCAGCGGUUAGAGCAGAGGACUCAUAAUCCUUUGGUCCCCGGUUCAAAUCCGGGUGGCCCUA